GCAAAAAAAAAAAAAAAAAAAAAAAACCUCACAAAGAACAGAAAACAAACAACAACAAAAACACAUACUAACAGAGUACAGCAGCUCUUGCACACCACUAAGUGUCAGUCAUUGGGGGAUCUCCUCUCAUUUCACAGUUUCUACAUAACAUUCUGCAGAGACCAACAUCCUCAAAACAAGUCUGCUGCUAUGUUGAGGAUGUCCCAUGAAGCCUGAAUCAGUAACACUUUUACAGCUCAUCUAACAAAUAUCACUUCUGACUGCUGGCAAGACAAUUUGGAGUUCAUCAAUAUGUAUUACCAAGGACUUUUAUAAAAGGCACUUCAAAGAAAAUUCAUCAGGCAUUCCUUUUGUCUUGAUUUCUGUUAGACUGAUGCUUCCUUUUGACAAGUAUCAAUAAAUUAUCCU